AAAAUGUCAAAGUACAAUGUAUAUGCAGUACACUACACAAUGAUAAUAUAGCAGAACGUUUCAUCUGACAUAAUGCUGGACUUCAGAGCGUCACACCGAUGCCAAUACGACCAGGGAGGGUAUUUUACGUAGGAACACGUGGGGAAGGUAUUAUGUGGAACACACCAGUGCCCUGCAGAUAGACGUCCUCCAGAUAAAAACCAUGUAAUCAUUACUGGAUCAGUCAGAACUCUUCGCACCAAGGCUUUUCACAUCUGACGAGAACAAGAACACCAGGAGAGGAGCAUCGCAGUCUGUCUUGUGUGCCAGAUCAAAUAUGUUUUUUAAAUAUUGAUUUAUUUUGUUUUUAUUCUUCUUCUCUCUCCUGAGGUGAAAGAGAGGGAGAGAGAGAGACUGAGUGAGGACCACGUGAGGGACUAGUGCUGAGAGUGGGUGGGGGGUGGGGGUGAGGGAGGGUUCUGAGUCAGAUUGACAAGGCACACCCUGAUCUGUGUUGGAGGAGAUUUGUGACCUAUACACAAGAGGAGGGUUGAGGAUCCAGGUUUGAAGAAUGGGAAUAAGGGGACUCCUUAUCCCUCUCCUCUCUGAUUGGAGGACAGGAUGGUACUGUAAAAAUCUGAGCUCUCUUUCCUUUCGGAGUUCACCUUAGCCUCUUCUGCACAUCAAGCUUCCCUACACCACAAUGAGCUGCUACCCCUGGAAUCAGGUGUGACUAUCUGACAGGCUAGUCUACGGAUGUUUCCCUGGAACCAGGUGUGACUGUAUCUGACAGGCUGGUCUACGGAUGUUUCCCUGGACCCAGGUGUGACUGUAUCUGACAGGCUGGUCUACGGACGUUUCCCUGGACCCAGGUGUGUCUGUAUCUGACAGGCUGGUCUACGGACGUUUCCCCGCAGUGUGAUGCAAGGUUCCAGAUAAAUAAACCCACUUUGCUGCAUUCUUGUCCUCAGAGAAGACAGAACGGGUAUCUUCACAGGUGGACAGAGGGACAGCUUUUUGUGUGUUAACAUGUUAACAGGGUUAGUUAUGCAUGUAGCAUAAAUAAUGAGACCUGAACCAGUAAAGUGUGUGUGUGUUAUAGAGAAACACCCCUGUCAACCUCUAACCACUCAAUCUGUUGUUGUCAAGUUGUCAUUGCAAAGCUCAAGGGACUCUUGAUGUGAAGUCACAUCUACACUGGCACUGAGAGAAACUGAGACCUCAUGUAUUAAAAAAGACAAGCAAACAAAUACAUUUUAAAAACUAUGAUGUCACUCUACCAGAGAUCUGGGAGCUGAGACCUUUAAGGGGUUUAACUUAUCCUGAUGAUCUGAUUCUACUGCUCUGUUAUUUUGUUUUUGGUCUGUUUGAAACUUCCUUCCUGUUUAGAUGCAGACUUGCUGGUUAACCCUGGGGGACGAGAUGAUAAAAACAGUUAUAGGAUGUGUCCUGUGCACAAGUUCACUACUGCUGUGAAUAUGUCGGUCUAUCGGACUUACACGUUCACUACUGCUGUGAAUAUGUCGGUCUAUCUGACUUACACGUUCAAUACUGCUGUGAAUAUGUCGGUCUAUCUGACUUACACGUUCACUACUCCUGUGAAUAUGUCGGUCUAUCUGACUUACACGUUCACUACUGCUGUGAAUAUGUCGGUCUAUCUGACUUACACGUUCACUACUGCUGUGAAUAUGUCGGUCUAUCUGACUUACACGUUCACUACUGCUGUGAAUAUGUCGGUCUAUCGGACUUACACGUUCACUACUGCUGUGAAUAUGUCGGUCUAUCUGACUUACACGUUCACUACUGCUGUGAAUAUGUCGUUCUAUCGGACUUACACGUUCACUACUGCUGUGAAUAUGUCGGUCUAUCGGACUUACACGUUCACUACUGCUGUGAAUAUGUCGGUCUAUCUGACUUACACGUUCACCACUGCUGUGAAUAUGUCGGUCUGUCUGACUUACACAAAUAAACGUGCAGAAGUGAAAUGUUAGUGCAGGGAUCCAUGUUUUUGUCGUUGAGCAUAGAACAUUGUUCAUCAUUUAUAUUCCCAGCACCGCUGAGCGGUGGUAGUGUGUCUGUGUGCUAAUAUUUGCUCUGAAAUGGCUUAAUUCUCAUUUGAAAAAAAGAAAAAAAAAACACAACUCUGCAAGACUUUGAUGUCAUUGAGGACCUUACGCAAACAUGUGUUUUAAGUGUGUAGAUCUUGGGUUAGGAUUUUGUCCCAAACAAGUGUGAAGCAGCCUUCACUAUAGCUCUGUUACUGUCUGAGGCUAAUUACUGUACCCUACCCGCUGCUCCUAAAGUUACGUAUACCUCUGUGCACCCUAACCCAAAGCCCGCAUCCAACACUCAUUCCAAUCAAUGAUGGCUUCCUGAAAAUCCACAAGCUUCCUUACGAAAACCAAAUGUCGGUUUCCUCGAACUUCCCGAUUUGUUUACAACCUAAACCCUAAUGCAAAAACCAGUCUCAUCUGAAUCCAGAAACCUCAGUCCAAAACCCAGUUCAGACCCCGUUUAUCCUGUAGUACCCGAACCAGCUCUGAAACCCCUAAUCCAGAAACCUCAGUCCAAAACCCCAACCCAGUUCAGAUCCCGUUUAUCCUGUAGUACCCGAACCAGCUCUGAAACCCCUAAGCCAAAAUCACAGACCUACCUCCCCUAUAUAGUUUAUCCAUCUCCGUCCCCAUCCUAGUUCACAACGCCCUCUGCAGUCCCCCAAAGCACAAAGGUUAGAGUGGUGUAGGAGUAAGCUGCGAAAGAGAAACCCUUCCAUUCUGUUUGUGUCGGUCUGUCUAUCUGUUUAUGGCUUUUAUAAAUGUGGUGCUUUUGUAUUCCGAAUGUACAGAUGCUCCUUCUUUUCUGUCUGUCAGAACGUUGUCAGAAUGUUGUCAGAACGUUGUAUUACUGGGAAUUCAAAAACGAUGACUCUUCAUGUGCUUCAAACACAUCUAUUUCUGUUUUUUAUUUCUUAUUUUUUGGCAAUUGCUCCAAGGUCAUAUAGAUUAAAAGAUGAGUAGGUAAACAAAAAUACAUAAAUAAAGAGAUAUAUUGAUCAAUUUCAAGAGAUUACAUGUUUGAACUGUUCAGAAACUGUAGUCUAACUUUGGGAUUUGGUUUCUGUUCCCAGUUUUGUUCUAACUUUGUGUAUGCUUUCAAUGUGCUUCAGAAAUACAGUAAUAUUUAUUAUGAUCGUUAAAUUAUUAUUACAGUUACCAUGAUUACUGCAGUUAUUAAUAAAUAUUUAUUUCUUCAACGAGA